rnacentral:rRNA from 1 species
UUUAAAUUGAGAGUUUGAUCCUGGCUCAGGAUGAACGCUGGCGGCGUGCUUAACACAUGCAAGUCGAGCGAUGAAGUUUCCUUCGGGAAACGGAUUAGCGGCGGACGGGUGAGUAACACGUGGGUAACCUGCCUCAUAGAGUGGAAUAGCCUU